rnacentral:rRNA from 1 species
AGUGAACGCUGGCGGUAGGCCUAACACAUGCAAGUCGAACGGCAGCACAGUAAGAGCUUGCUCUUACGGGUGGCGAGUGGCGGACGGGUGAGGAAUACAUCGGAAUCUACUUUUUCGUGGGGGAUAACGUAGGGAAACUUACGCUAAUACCGCAUACGACCUACGGGUGAAAGCAGGGGAUCUUCGGACCUUGCGCGAUUGAAUGAGCCGAUGUCGGAUUAGCUAGUUGGCGGGGUAAAGGCCCACCAAGGCGACGAUCCGUAGCUGGUCUGAGAGGAUGAUCAGCCACACUGGAACUGAGACACGUUCCAGACUCCUACGGGAGGCAGCAGUGGGCAAUAUUGGACAAUGGGCGCAAGCCUGAUCCAGCCAUACCGCGUGGGUGAAGAAGGCCUUCGGGUUGUCAAGCCCUUUUGUUGGGAAAGAAAAGCAGCAGGUUAAUACCCCGCUGUUCUGACGGUACCCAAAGAAUAAGCACCGGCUAACUUCGUG